rnacentral:rRNA from 1 species
UGGGGAAUCUUGCCCAAUGGGCGCAAGCCUGAGGCAGCGACGCCGCGUGAGGGAAGAAGGCCUUCGGGUUGUAAACCUCUUUCAGGAGGGACGAAGCCACUCGGGUUAAUAGCCCAGAGGGUGACGGUACCUCCAGAAGAAGCCCCGGCUAACUACGUGCCAGCAGCCGCGGUAAUACGUAGGGGGCAAGCGUUGUCCGGAUUUACUGGGCGUAAAGAGCGUGUAGGCGGCCAGGCAGGUCUGUUGUGAAAACUGGAGGCUUAACCUCCAGACGUCGACAGAAACCGUCUGGCUAGAGUCCGGAAGAGGAGAGUGGAAUUCCUGGUGUAGCGGUGAAAUGCGCAGAUAUCAGGAAGAACACCAAUGGCGAAGGCAGCUCUCUGGGACGGUACUGACGCUGAGACGCGAAAGCGUGGGGAGCGAACAGGAUUAGAUACCCUGGUAGUCCACGCCGUAAACGAUGGGUGCUAGGUGUGGGAGGUGUCGACUCCUUCCGUGCCGCAG